rnacentral:rRNA from 1 species
ANGAACGCUGGCGNCAGGCUUAACACAUGCAAGUCGAGCGCCCCNCCAAGGGGAGCGGCAGACNGGUGAGUAACGCGUGGGAACGUACCCUUUACUACGGAACAACUCCGGGAAACUGGAGCUAAUACCGUAUGUGCCCUUUGGGGGAAAGAUUUAUCGGUAAAGGAUCGGCCCGCGUUGGAUUAGCUAGUUGGUGGGGUAAAGGCCUACCAAGGCGACGAUCCAUAGCUGGUCUGAGAGGAUGAUCAGCCACAUUGGGACUGAGACACGGCCCAAACUCCUACGGGAGGCAGCAGUGGGGAAUAUUGGACAAUGGGCGCAAGCCUGAUCCAGCCAUGCCGCGUGAAUGAUGAAGGCCUUAGGGUUGUAAAGUUCUUUCACCGGAGAAGAUAAUGACGGUAUCCGGAGAAGAAGCCCCGGCUAACUUCGUGCCAGCAGCCGCGGUAAUACGAAGGGGGCUAGCGUUGUUCGGAAUUACUGGGCGUAAAGCGCACGUAGGCGGACAUUUAAGUCAGGGGUGAAAUCCCAGAGCUCAACUCUGGAACUGCCUUUGAUACUGGGUGUCUUGAGUGUGGAAGAGGUNCAGUGGAAUUGCGAGUGUAGAGGUGAAAUUCGUAGAUAUUCGCAGGAANAACCAGUGGCGAAGGCGGCUGAUCUGGUCCACAACUGACGCUGAGGUGCGAAAGC